rnacentral:rRNA from 1 species
GGUUAAGUUAGAAAGGGCGCACGGUGGAUGCCUUGGCACUAGGAGCCGAUGAAGGACGGGACGAACACCGAUAUGCUUCGGGGAGCUGUAAGCAAGCUUUGAUCCGGAGAUUUCCGAAUGGGGAAACCCACUGCUCGUAAUGGAGCAGUAUCCAUAUCUGAAUCCAUAGGAUAUGUGAAGGCAGACCCGGGGAACUGAAACAUCUAAGUACCCGGAGGAAGAGAAAGCAAAUGCGAUUCCCUGAGUAGCGGCGAGCGAAACGGGAACAGCCCAAACCAAGAGGCUUGCCUCUUGGGGUUGUAGGACACUCUAUACGGAGUUACAAAAGAACGAGGUAGACGAAGAGGUCUGGAAAGGCCCGCCAUAGGAGGUAACAGCCCUGUAGUCAAAACUUCGUUCUCUCCUGAGUGGAUCCUGAGUACGGCGGAACACGUGAAAUUCCGUCGGAAUCCGGGAGGACCAUCUCCCAAGGCUAAAUACUCCCUAGUGACCGAUAGUGAACCAGUACCGUGAGGGAAAGGUGAAAAGCACCCCGGAAGGGGAGUGAAAGAGAUCCUGAAACCGUGUGCCUACAAGUAGUCAGAGCCCGUUAACGGGUGAUGGCGUGCCUUUUGUAGAAUGAACCGGCGAGUUACGAUCCCGUGCAAGGUUAAGUUUGAAAAGACGGAGCCGCAGCGAAAGCGAGUCUGAAUAGGGCGCAUGAGUACGUGGUCGUAGACCCGAAACCAGGUGAUCUACCCAUGUCCAGGGUGAAGUUCAGGUAACACUGAAUGGAGGCCCGAACCCACGCACGUUGAAAAGUGCGGGGAUGAGGUGUGGGUAGGGGUGAAAUGCCAAUCGAACCUGGAGAUAGCUGGUUCUCUCCGAAAUAGCUUUAGGGCUAGCCUCAAGGUAAGAGUCUUGGAGGUAGAGCACUGAUUGGACUAGGGGCCCCUACCGGGUUACCGAAUUCAGUCAAACUCCGAAUGCCAAAGACUUAUCCUUGGGAGUCAGACUGCGAGUGAUAAGAUCCGUAGUCGAAAGGGAAACAGCCCAGACCGCCAGCUAAGGUCCCAAAGUAUACGUUAAGUGGAAAAGGAUGUGGAGUUGCUUAGACAACCAGGAUGUUGGCUUAGAAGCAGCCACCAUUUAAAGAGUGCGUAAUAGCUCACUGGUCGAGUGACUCUGCGCCGAAAAUGUACCGGGGCUAAACGUAUCACCGAAGCUGCGGACUGUUCUUGCGAACAGUGGUAGGAGAGCGUUCUAAGGGCUGUGAAGCGAGACCGGAAGGACUCGUGGAGCGCUUAGAAGUGAGAAUGCCGGUAUGAGUAGCGAAAGAGGGGUGAGAAUCCCCUCCACCGAAUGCCUAAGGUUUCCUGAGGAAGGCUCGUCCGCUCAGGGUUAGUCGGGACCUAAGCCGAGGCCGAAAGGCGUAGGCGAUGGAUAACAGGUUGAUAUUCCUGUACCACCUCCUCACC